GAUCCCAUAGUUUAACUGGAUAAAACUACUGCCUCCUAAGCAGUCGCUCUCAGUUCGAGUCUGAGUGGGAUCA
rnacentral:tRNA from 1 species